rnacentral:tRNA from 1 species
GGGGAUUUAGCUCAGUGGUAAGAGUGCUUGCCUAGCAAGCGCAAGGCCCUGGGUUCGGUCCCCAGCUCCA